rnacentral:rRNA from 1 species
AUUGAACGCCGGCGGCAUGCUUUACACAUGCAAGUCGAACGGCAGCGGGGGCUUCGGCCUGCCGGCGAGUGGCGAACGGGUGAGUAAUGCAUCGGAACGUGCCCAUGUCGUGGGGGAUAACGUAGCGAAAGCUACGCUAAUACCGCAUACGUCCUGAGGGAGAAAGCGGGGGAUCUUUGGACCUCGCGCGAUUGGAGCGGCCGAUGUCGGAUUAGCUAGUAGGUGAGGUAAAGGCUCACCUAGGCGACGAUCCGUAGCGGGUCUGAGAGGAUGAUCCGCCACACUGGGACUGAGACACGGCCCAGACUCCUACGGGAGGCAGCAGUGGGGAAUUUUGGACAAUGGGGGCAACCCUGAUCCAGCCAUGCCGCGUGAGUGAAGAAGGCCU